UGAAAAUGAACAGCAAGAGAAGAUAGAAGAGAAUUCUUAUCAGAACAAGGAUUUACAGUGUAAUUGUAAUAGCCCUGUUUCUAAGAGCGAUUAUUUAAACAUUAAAUAUAUUUAUUAAGUUAAUUAUGUUUCGGAAAUUCUUAUUUUACUUGAGUUGUGGAAUGUAAUUUUUAUUUGUCGUGUUGUAAUGCAUUUAUUUAUUUAAUUAUAUGAGAUUAUUUAUUUAUUAUUAUGAUUAUUUUGGGUCUUGUGCAAUUAGUUGAGCGGUAUUUUGCAAAUUGGAAAAUCAAGGUUGGUUUCCUUCCCGAACCACCGAGCCCUUUUGUUAUGUUUAUCCGUUAAUGAAACCAAAUCAACCCCCCCCCCUUGUUAUUUUGUCGGUUUAGUUAAAUAAAACCCAAACCCAUUUCAUUUGAUUUCUCCUUCCCCGUAAAACCCCAAACCCCAGCCCGGUGAAACCCCAAUUCCUCACUCCUCAGCGUCUCUCUCGCUGACCUUCGCUUCCCCUCCGUCGUCUGCCAGUCGUCGGAGCCGCGUCGAAAAGUUUUGUCGGUGUUGCUGCUCCUUUCUUUCGCUCCUAUCAUGGUUCACGAAACCCCUGUUUCGUUCGAUUGUUCUGCCGUAGACCCGAGGUUCUUCGCCCGCGUCGCCACCCCGUCUGGCUGGAGCUUUCUUCUCUCUUCCGUCGCGCGGUUGACUCCUUGGUUGUCUCGUUGUUGUUGGUGAUUCUGCUGCUGGGUUGUCGCUGCCGUGUUCUUCUCUCUCCCCCUGUCCUGCGACCACCGCCUGGUGGUGUUGUGGUUGUUUUGUUGUUGCUGCUGCCGCUGCUUUGCGUCGCACCACGGCGAGCUCUACUCCCUCUCCCUUGUUUGUCCCUGCUCAACAGAGCAGAGGUAUAAUAUAACCUCCUCUUCUUCUUUCUGAUUUUCUAAUUUGUAAAUUAUGCCCAAAUUGUUUUUAUGUUGUUGUGCUGUUGUUACUGUUGGUAUAUUGAAUAUUUUUGGGAAUUGUUGCUAUUGUUUGUUGUUGUCCAGUUUUUCUGUCUCCUGCGUUUGUGGGGCUGUUAUGGUGCGAUUUUGCACUAUGGAAACACUAUCGUUUCAUGUUGUUGCUACGAUCAUUUUAUGGUGGUGGUUGUUUGUUGUUAUGUUGUGGUAGCAUUGUUGUUGUUACUGUUAUGUCGUAGAGAUGGUGGUCGUUGUAAGAGUUGUUAUUGUUGUUGUGAGCCAAGUUUAGCUAGUGUUAAAUUAUAGUUGAAUUGUGUAGUUGAGGUUGGUUUAUGGAAUUAGCUAGCUAGUUAGUUUCUAUUGGAAUAUUUCAAUUAGUGAAAGGAUUUGUAUUAGAGAAGAUUUAGUCUAAUGAGUCUUUAGUUUGAAUGUUAUUUGGAUUAGUUCCUCUAUUCGAAAUAUAGUGAGAUUGGAAAGCAAUUGAUUAUUGUUAUUAUUUUGAGGUUAUUAUUGGAGGAUGAUUAUGGAAUUGAAUCUCAUUUGGGGAUGAAGAUUAUUGAAGGAGGUUAUAUUGUUGGAACUGGAUUGCGGUUCAGGUAACUUUUAUGUUCAGUAAAAUUAUUUACUCAUGCCCAUGUGUGUAUGGAUCUUUAUUCUGUUUUUGAUACUUAAGUUCGUACUAUGGCCAUAGUUAUGAAUGUGAUGAUGAAUGUCAUUGAUUGAUUAUGAAUACGAAAACUGUUUUGCUGGCUUAGUUUAUGAACUGAAAAUAGAAAGUGGGCAAUGUAUGGGUGGAGGAUGGUUACUCUUUUGACCUGAUACGGUCGGCUACGCUCCAUAACGAACCUUGGGGUAGUAUUGCUGGGCUCCAUAACGAACCUUGGAGGCAGCGUUUGUCCUUUGUCCAAAGCCUGUACUUGCCACUGAUUUGUUUAAGAGAAUGAGCUAUGCCAGCGUUGUAAUGAAAAGGAAAUGAUUUGAAAUAAAAUGUUUAUAACGGGCUGAAGUAAAGGUUACGAGUUUUCCACUCAUUUUGGAAUUGUUUUUGUUUUGUAUUUUCUUCGCUGAAUUUGCAGGUUUGGUAUCAAGAGCUCGAGAAUGGAAGUGAAGCAAGAUUAUGGUGUUGUCCUAGAUUAAGGAUUGAGUUUGUAUCUAGUUAGUUGAUUGGAGAUUAAUUAUCGAUAUUUUCAAUGUAUAUGAUAUUUGAGAAUUUUAUUGGAGAUAUUGGUGUAUUGAAGGAUAUUUUUCCGCUGCGAAGUAAAUUAUUUAAGAGUUAAUUAUUAUUUAUGGAUCUUAAGUGCGUUUCGCUAGCAGCUCGGAAGAGCGGGCUGUUACAAGAUGGUAUCAGAGCAACCUUGCGACCGUAUGCCUAGUUGGCUACCUAGCGAGGGUAAAAGAUCUUUGGGAUAGUUUGAAAUCGAUUGGGAUUAUUAGUGGAUAAGAAUUGAUGAUCAGGAAUUAGGAAUGUUGAAGCUUGAGUUUAAGAUUGUUGCGCUUUGGCGUGUGCUAUAUGAUUUCGUUUACGUAAAAAGUGUAAUGCCUUGUAUUGUCUGUGAUGUGUUUGAGAAAAUUCUAUGAUUUGGUUAAGUAAACGAAUUUCAAACGAGAUCUCUAUGAAUGAGAUGUCUGGAAUCCUAUUCCGAAAAUUUGCCCCUUUUGUUUUCUUUGCUCCUCGAUUUUGAUAUUGAGUUGAAGUGGAGAUACAAAAGCUGAUGGUAGAAUUGAGGUUGGAUAACUGAUAUCUUAUGAGUUUGAGAUUUUGGUUUUACUUAAAUCAUUAUUUUCAAGUUUCGAGGACGAAACUUUCAAUAAGGGUGGUAGUAUGUAAUAGCCCUGUUUCUAAGAGCGAUUAUUUAAACAUUAAAUAUAUUUAUUAAGUUAAUUAUGUUUCGGAAAUUCUUAUUUUACUUGAGUUGUGGAAUGUAAUUUUUAUUUGUCGUGUUGUAAUGCAUUUAUUUAUUUAAUUAUAUGAGAUUAUUUAUUUAUUAUUAUGAUUAUUUUGGGUCUUGUGCAAUUAGUUGAGCGGUAUUUUGCAAAUUGGAAAAUCAAGGUUGGUUUCCUUCCCGAACCACCGAGCCCUUUUGUUAUGUUUAUCCGUUAAUGAAACCAAAUCAACCCCCCCCCCCUUGUUACUUUGUCGGUUUAGUUAAACAAAACCCAAACCCAUUUCAUUUGAUUUCUCCUUCCCCGUAAAACCCCAAACCCCAGCCCGGUGAAACCCCAAUUCCUCACUCCUCAGCGUCUCUCUCGCUGACCUUCGCUUCCCCUCCGUCGUCUGCCACUCGUCGGAGCCGCGUCGAAAAGUUUUGUCGGUGUUGCUGCUCCUUUAUAUCGCUCCUAUCAUGGUUCACGAAACCCCUGUUUCGUUCGAUUGUUCUGUCGUAGACCCGAGGUUCGUCGCCCGCGUCGCCACCCCGUCUGGCUGGAGCUUUCUCCUCUCUUCCGUCGCGCGGUUGACUCCUUGGUUGUCUCAUUGUUGUUGGUGAUUCUGCUGCUGGGUUGUCACUGCCGUGUUCUUCUCUCUCCCCCCUGUCCUGCGACCACCGCCUGGUGGUGCUGUGGUUGUUUUGUUGUUGCUGCUGCCGCUGCUUUGCGUCGCACCACGGCGAGCUCUGCUCCCUCUCCCUUGUUUGUCCCUGCUCAACAGAGCAGAGGUUAUUAUUGGAGGAUGAUUAUAGAAUUGAAUCUCAUUUGGGGAUGAAGAUUAUUGAAGGAGGUUAUAUUGUUGGAACUGGAUUGCGGUUCAGGUAACUUUUAUGUUCAGUAAAAUUAUUUACUCAUGCCCAUGUGUGUAUGGAUCUUUAUUCUGUUUUUGAUACUUAAGUUCGUACUAUGGCCGUAGUUAUAGAUGUGAUGAUGAAUGUCAUUGAUUGAUUAUGAAUACGAAAACUGUUUUGCUGGCUUAGUUUAUGAACUGAAAAUAGAAAGUGGGCAAUGUAUGGGUGGAGGAUGGUUACUCUUUUGACCUGAUACGGUCGGCUACGCUCCAUAACGAACCUUGGGGGUAGUAUUGCUGGGCUCCAUAACGAACCUUGGAGGCAUCAUUUUUCCUUUGUCCAAAGCCUGUACUUGCCACUGAUUUGUUUAAGAGAAUGAGCUAUGCCAGCGUUGUAAUGAAAAGGAAAUGAUUUGAAAUAAAAUGUUUAUAACGGGCUGAAGUAAAGGUUACGAGUUUUCCACUCAUUUUGGAAUUGUUUUUGUUUUGUAUUUUCUUCGCUGAAUUUGCAGGUUUGGUAUCAAGAGCUCGAGAAUGGAAGUGAAGCAAGAUUAUGGUGUUGUCCUAGAUUAAGGAUUGAGCUUGUAUCUAGUUAGUUGAUUGGAGAUUAGUUAUCGAUAUUUUCGAUGUAUAUGAUAUUUGAGAAUUUUAUUGGAGAUAUUGGUGUAUUGAAGGAUAUUUUUCCGCUGCGAAGUAAAUUAUUUAAGAGUUAAUUAUUAUU